rnacentral:rRNA from 1 species
AUUGAACGCUAGCGGGAUGCUUUACACAUGCAAGUCGAACGAGUGGCGGACGGGUGAGUAAUAUAUCGGAACGUGCCCAGUAGCGGGGGAUAACUACUCGAAAGAGUGGCUAAAACCGCAAACUAGUGGAGCGGCCGUUAUCGGAGUAGCUAGUUGGUGGGGGAAAGGUUCCCCAAGGCAACGAUCCGUAGCUGGUUUGAGAGGAAGACCAGCCACACUGGUACUGAGACACGGCCCAUCCUCCUACGGUAGGCAGCAGUGGGGAAUUUUGGACAAUGGGGGAAACCCUGAUCCAGCCAUCCCGCGUGUAUGAGAAGGCCUUCGGGUUUUAAAGUACUUUUGGCAGAGAAGCGGUAUCUGCAGAAUAAGCACCGGCUAACUACGUGCCAGCAGCCGCGGUAAUUC